GAUGCUGCCGUUCCGGGAGCCCCUGCCCCCGGGGGUCCCCACGGAGGACGCCUGCCUCCGCGGAGGAAGAAGCCACCCGUGGAGAUGUCCCCCAGACGAUUGUACCCAGAGGAUGCCCUUCGAGCAGCCACCAUUUAUUCCAUCAUGUCCACCCUGAAGGAUGACCCUACGGAGAUGUCCCCCAGAAGGACAGCGCCCACCCCCAGAAGAGGCUUCAGGAUGACCCCCUUUAGGUCUCACCUCCCUAGGGGACGCCUGACCCCAGAGAAUCCCUCUCCUGAGACUAUCCCUUCUCCCCAGAGAAGUUCCUCCAGAGGCUGUCCUCUGAAGGAUGCCCUCUGGUCGGUGCUCCGUGCCUCGCCACCGGGUCUGGAGUCCCUGUGAUCCUGCUAGCUGUGGUCAGGCGAGGGGUGGGGGGCGCUGGGCUCCGGAGGCUGCUGACCGGUGCCUGCGCCCUCCACUGGCAGCACAGGACAGCCUAGUAAUCUUCCAAGUCCUCACUCUAUCUGCAGGUGAUGCCUCAGGGAAUGCCACAUGAUAUUGGGAGUGACAUCCCAACGCUGUUGCCACCGGGUCAGUUGUGGGAAGUCACAGGUGCCACACUUAGGUGGAGGGACCACACAGUCUUGAAAGCCAGGAGACAGAGGUUACUGGGGUCAGCCUAAGGAUGGUGCAACAUAGGCUGACCCGAAUAAAAUGCCUCCUUAGGAAUCUCUGGGGGACUGAUGGUGGCUGGAGGUAGGUGUGCCUUUACACAUUGGCAGUCCCAACUGCUGGGACUGGGGCCAGCUGACAGGAGUUUGGUGCCUGUGGGGGACAGGUGAGAGUGAGGAAGUGAAUGCAGUCUUCCCAUCUCAGUCAUGAGUACUCUUAUUAAGGACCUCUGGUGCUGGCCCCUAGUCCCUGCUGACUUUUAUUAACCUGGGGACAAUCUCUCCUGGCUGAGCAUGUGUCCAUGUGACAUACUUCCUAGGAAGACAGUACUGAACCCCGAAGCUACAGAGCUCUGGAUAUUUCUGCAGAUUGUCUCACUGUGCAGCCAGUGCAAGGUUACUGUGAAUGUGUGAGCAAGCAGCCCAGGGCUUCUGGUGAGGCAGACCCACUGCAGACUGGGAACAUGGUCCUGUUUGUUAUGUGAUGUACAGCUGGGUUCUGGUUAUAGCUCCAAGGUAGGCAGGGCGGUCUUUGGUGGGGCACUAAUGGUUGCUGGGACAGCUUUCAGGGUUUGAUCUGGGACACCUGGAUGAGCAGGCUGCCCUUUUAGUACUUCAGAGAGCAGAAAAACAGGCAUGCCAAGCCAAGGGACAGUGUCUACCGCUGCCUGCUGCCAGAGUAAGAACCUGGCUACAGCGCCAGAAAGAGUUGUUUUUAAGAUAUUGUGCAACCUCUCUUUUGCACACACAGCCACCAUGAGUUGUCCUUUGGUUUUGUGUAGUUUGUGCAGAGCUCAUCUUUAGAGAGCCAUGAGAUGGCAUUGUGUCUUCCCUGAGCAUCUUCUGCAGUCAGCUGUCACCCAGUGGGGCUCAGUUUUCCAGAUAGCUUUGCUGCCCUUGAUGGGAGCUGAGCAGUGGCACAGCUUGCCUUGUCAUGCUGGAGAGGACAUCUUUGCAAGUAGUGUUGCUUAUGGCUCAGCCUUGCCAGAGUUUGAGGAACAGUGGAACUAACUGUGGCUUCCCUGUUGUCCCUGGACCAGUCUGGAAGAGGUGAGACCACGCCCAGCUGAGCAGCCCUUACUGACUCCCUGCACACUGAUGACACCUGAGGGAACAUCUGUCCGCUGCAGGAAAGGUGCCUGGAGGUCAGGCGUGCUUGGCACACAGUGUGUCUGCUGAGGUGUCCAUCUUAGCAUGGACAGGCUUUGCAAACGAGUGGAUCACAGUGCAGGACUUUGUGCUGUGAAUUCCACCUGGUCAUUCUUACAUGCAGCAGGAGCUCCCGUGAGCUGUAAGGGCUGAAGAACCAGGUAGGGCCACUGGGGCUGUGGGGUGACGCCUGCUCCUGAGGGGCAGCACAAGGCGGAGGCUGACCUGUUGACCAGGCUCUCCAGUGCAUGCUGAAAUCCUGAAGACGCAGCUUUAGGUGGGGCUUCUGACAGUGGUCCUUGCUGGAGAGGGGCCUCCUUCCUGAUCAUCCCUCAGGGUGACUGUCUGCUUCCCUUUCCCAUGCUAGUUCUGGACUCAAAAGAGCCAGGAUCCAGCAGCAGGACCAGCACAAAUGGGCACUGAGUGAAGGUUGACCUGGAAGGAGAGAGCACAUGGAGGUACCCUACUGCCCCACCCAGAAGUGACUGGGUUUGGUGUGAUCAACUUGGACCCCAUGCUGCGCCUCUUGUCACCCAGGACACUGCAGAUUGCUCAGCUUUACAUUGGUAUUGAGAUGCUGAGGUGCAUGUGUGUGUAGGCUGGUCUCCUACCACACCUCCUCAUGCCCAAUGGCUGGACUGUGCUUUGUGAAGAACACUCAUUCAGCAGUCUAAGGUCACAGGCCAGAGAGCAGUUUGGCAGGUGCCAGAGCUGUAUGUCUCUCUGGAUGUGACACAUGUUCAACAAAGUAAUCUCUCUGGACGGUUACUGUUUGUACAUUGUAUCAAGUGAUGUUAACAAGCUGUUUAAGUGUGCUCUACAGUUAGAAAUCUUGGAAAAAUAAAACUUCCUAUUGCAGAAAAA